GGGGAAUCUUCCGCAAUGGACGAAAGUCUGACGGAGCAACGCCGCGUGAGUGAAGAAGGCCUUCGGGUCGUAAAGCUCUGUCAUCAGGGACGAAUGUAAUCUAUGUGAAUAAUGUAGAUUAAUGACGGUACCUGAGAAGGAAGCCACGGCUAACUACGUGCCAGCAGCCGCGGUAAUACGUAGGUGGCAAGCGUUGUCCGGAAUUAUUGGGCGUAAAGCGCGCGCAGGCGGGAUGAUAAGUCUGUCUUAAAAGUUCGGGGCUCAACCCCGUGAUGGGAUGGAAACUAUCAUUCUUGAGUGCAGGAGAGGAAAGUGGAAUUCCCAGUGUAGCGGUGAAAUGCGUAGAUAUUGGGAGGAACACCAGUGGCGAAGGCGACUUUCUGGACUGUGUCUGACGCUGAGGCGCGAAAGCCAGGGGAGUGAAUCGGGAUUAGAUACCCCGGUAAUCCUGGCCGUAAAGCGAUGGGUACUAGGUGUAGGAGGUAUCGACCCCUUCUGUGCCGGAGUUAACG
rnacentral:rRNA from 1 species